GGCUUAUUGAUAAUAAUUUUAAGUCUAUCUGCCCAAUGAUUGAUUAAUUUAAUGGCUGCAGUAUAAUUGACUGUACAAAGGUAGCAUAAUCAAUUGUUUUUUAAUUGAAAACUAGAAUGAAAGAAUUAAUGAGAUAUAUACUGUCUCAUAUAUAUUUAAUUAAUUUAAAUUUUUAGUAAAAAUGCUUAAAUAAAUUUAUGGGACGAUAAGACCCUAUAGAAUUUUAUAUUGAUAUAUAGAUUAAUUUAUUUUAUAUAUUAAUAUUUAGUUGGGAGGAUUAAUAAAUUUAUAAAACUUUAUUUUAAAUUUUAACUUUGAUUUGAGAAUUAAUAAUGAUCUUGUAUUAUAAAUCAUAAGAAUAAAUUACCUUAGGGAUAACAGCGUAAUAUCUUUUUAAAGAUCAAAUUAAUAAAGAUGAUUGCGACCUCGAUGUUGAAUUAAGAUAAAUUUUAAGUGAAGAAAUUUAAUAAUUAAGUCUGUUCGACUUUUAAAAUCUU
rnacentral:rRNA from 1 species